rnacentral:rRNA from 1 species
ACUCCUACGGGAGGCAGCAGUGGGGAAUAUUGCACAAUGGGCGCAAGCCUGAUGCAGCCAUGCCGCGUGUGUGAAGAAGGCCUUCGGGUUGUAAAGCACUUUCAGUUGUGAGGAAGGUGGUGUCGUUAAUAGCGGCAUCAUUUGACGUUAGCAACAAGAAGAAGCACCGGCUAACUCCGUGCCAGCAGCCGCGGUAAUACGGAGGGUGCGAGCGUUAAUCGGAAUUACUGGGCGUAAAAGCGCAUGCAGGUGGUUUGUUAAGUCAGAUGUGAAAGCCCGGGGCUCAACCUCGGAACUGCAUUUGAAACUGGCAGACUAGAGUACUGUAGAGGGGGGUAGAAUUUCAGGUGUAGCGGUGAAAUGCGUAGAGAUCUGAAGGAAUACCGGUGGCAAGGCGGCCCCCUGGACAGAUACCUGACACUCAGAUGCGAAAGCGUGGGGAGCAAACAGGAUU